rnacentral:rRNA from 1 species
GUUGCAGCAGUCGAGAAACCUCCGCAAUACACGAAAGUGUGACGGGGCCAUCCCGAGUGCCGUCCGCUGAGGACGGCUUUUCCCCAGUGUACACAGCUGGGGGAAUAAGGAGAGGGCAAGCCUGGUGUCAGCCGCCGCGGUAAUACCAGCUCUCCGAGUGGUGGGGACGCUUAUUGGGCCUAAAGCAUCCGUAGCCGGCUGGGGCAAGUCCUCCGUUAAAUCCAACGAUUCAAUCGUUGGGCUGCGGGGGAUACUGUCCAGCUUGGGGGCGGGAGAGGCCGACGGGUAUUCCCCGGGGUAGGGGUGAAAAGUCCUAUAAUCCCCGGGGAGGACCACCAGUGGCGAAGGCUGUCGGCUAGAACGCGCCCGACGGUGAGGGAUGGAAAAGCUGGGGGGAGCGGAACCGGAUUAGAUACCCCCUGUA